CAAAUAUUAUCAAACUCAUCCUUUCUUUACGUUCUAAAAGCCAUUUAAUUAUAGUUACAUCAAGAUUCUAGAUUUAGCUUACCAUGUCUUCAAGGAACCAUUUCUUCUUGAAGCCGUUGGAUGAUUUUUUAAAAAAAAAAAAUUCAUUCGGAAGCUUGCCGGCCUCACUAACAAAGGAAGAGGAAAACCAAUCUUGCACAACCAAAGAACCUCUUCCCCCUUUGAAGACCGGAGGAGGAAAAGAGCAUCCCUCCAGUUAUCAUGCACUCAAGCUGGUCGAAAACCAGCCGAUGGGUCAAACCAUUCGCAGAGCCAAAUACCGUAAAAAGGACAACUUAGAUAAGUCCAGAUUCUUAUGAGCCAGGGCACUAACAAGAUCAAUACAAUCAAAAACAUGAGUCAAUGUUAGGUUGUGUGCAAAUGAAGAAAUGCAUGUGAAGCUGGCUUGAUUUAGUUUGUCUAGACAAUGAUAGUUUUGCUGCCAUUUCUUUGGGAUCAUUGUUGUGGUCGUUGUGGUAGAAAGUCAUUGGGAUUAUAAUGACUUGAGAAAGUGAUAUUGAAAAGAUGCAACGAGUUUUUAACACCAUAAUUUAAAGUUGAUAUAAUUAUCCUUUGGAGGUGGCAUGAUGUAUA